GAGCGAGUUUCGGGGUUCUGUGUAGCAAACUUGCUGCGGUAGAGCCGGGUUUUUACACCCGGAAGGUCGGGGGUUCGAGCCCCUCUUCGCCCA
rnacentral:tRNA from 1 species